CCUCGCCAUCGUUCAUAAAGCUGAACAUGAAAAUUUCAUUACAAAAUGGGAUAGGGCCUAACCACUAUGUGCUUAAGGGGAUGUGCUACAUCACCACCACCAGCAUGCUGUGCUUCACAAAUUCAGCUGGUGAGAGAAAGCUUCCAUGGCAAACACACACUAUCCUCACCUCCUCGCCUUUCUUAUACCUAUAGAGAAAACCUUUGAUUCUUUUUC
rnacentral:misc_RNA from 1 species